CAUCAAGAAGCUAUAAUAGCAUUAACCUUUUAAGUUAAAGAUUGAGAACAUAACAUUCUCCUUGAUGA
rnacentral:tRNA from 4 species